rnacentral:rRNA from 1 species
CCCGCUGAACUUAAGCAUAUCAAUAAGCGGAGGAAAAGAAACCAACAGGGAUUGCCCUAGUAACGGCGAGUGAAGCGGCAAUUGCUCAAAUUUGAAAUCUGGCUCCAUUCGGAGUCCGAGUUGUAAUUUGUAGAGGAAGCUUCGGUGAGGGUUACCGGCUCAAGUCCCCUGGAACGGGAUGUCAUAGAGGGUGAGAACCCCGUCCGGCCGUGUACCCCAACCAUGUGUUGCUCCUUCGACGAGUCGAGUUGUUUGAGGAAAGCAGCUCAAAAUGUGGUGGAAAAUUCCAUCUAAUGCUAAUUACUGACCAGAGGCUGAUAGCGCACAAGUAUAGUGAUCGAAAGAUGAAAAGCACUUUGAAAAAAGAGUUCAAAAGCUCGUGAAAUUGUUGAAAGGGAAGCGCUUGUGGUCAGACCCUUCCGUGGUUAUUCACCCGGUAAUUUCCCCGGCUCUCUUUUGCGCGGUUAGGACCAUCAUCGGUUUAAGCUGUCGGAUAAAGCCCCUAGGAAUGUGCCCCUUCGAGGUGUAAUACCUUUGGCUUCAAUCCGCCCUGCUUAGUCCGAGUGAAGCGUUUUUCCAGGAUGCUGGCAUAAUGGUUGCAAGCGGCCCGUCUUGAAACACGG